CAUACUUCCUGCUGCGAGGUCAUUAGCAGUGCGUCCGUCCACAGCAAAGUGUUUUGCCACAGGAUGGAAAUUAUCUGGUCCCACCCCUGGAUAUGAUCAACCUUCAUAGACUGUGCAUUAUACAUGUAGCCAUCUCUGCGACCUGCAAAGAUGAAAAGGGAAAGCAGGAGAUGGAAACUGGUCAGCAGCCUUCUGGUUUAUCAGCCACACUUACAAAGGUCAAAUGUGCAAAGCGUCAGAAGACAGUGGUUAGAGUGAGAUUCUACAUGCUCUCAAUGAAGAAUAAAGGUAAGUUCAAUAUUUCAUGAAACAAAAAGUUUUUUAAGUUAUUAUAAAGGAAUGUUUCCAUAGCUA
rnacentral:lncRNA from 1 species